AACGUAGGACGCAAGCGUUAUCCGGAGUUACUGGGCGUAAAGCGCGAGCAGGCGGCUUCUUAAGUCUGAUGUGAAAGCGCCCGGCUCAACCGGGCGAGGCCAUUGGAAACUAGGGAGCUGGAGGGCAGUAGAGGCAGGCGGAAUUCCGGGUGGAGUGGUGGAAAUGCGUAGAGAUCGGGGAGGAACACCCGUGGGCGAAAGGCGG
rnacentral:rRNA from 1 species